rnacentral:snRNA from 1 species
AUACUUACCUGGCGGGGAGAUACCAUGAUCAUGAAGGUGGUUUUCCCAGGGCGAGGCUUAUCCAUUGCACUCCGGAUGUGCUGACCCCUGCGAUUUCCCCAAAUGUGGGAAACUCGACUGCAUAAUUUGUGGUAGUGGGGGACUGCGUUCGCGCUUUCCCCUG